rnacentral:rRNA from 1 species
ACCAGGUCAAGACAUGGGCGUGAUUGACAGGCUAAUGACUUUUCUCGAUUCCAUGGAUGGUGGUGCAUGGUCGCACUUAGUUGGUGCAGUGAUUUGUCAGGUUUAUUCCGGUAACGAACGAGACCUCGGCCUUGUAAAUAGCUAUGCUGCUUACAGGGACAUUGGCGGCUACGCCAAGGAAGCUCGAGGCAAUUGCAGAUCUGGAAUGCCCUUAGAUGUCCUGGGUCGCACGCGUGCUACAAUGACGCCACGAACGAGCUUGCGUGAUGAAAGUUACGCAUAAUCAGCAGUCGGCGUCUUAAGGGAUAGUCUCUUGUAACUGUGGGACUCCAACUAGGAAUGUCUCGUAAGCACAAGUCAACAUCUUGUGUUGAUUACGUCCCUGCUCUUUGUACACACCGCCCGUCGCUCCUACCGAUCGAGUGUUUAGGUGAAUUUGAUGGACGUAAGGAAGUCAAAUAAACCUGAGCACUAGAGAAGAGAAGUCGAGCAUUUCCUUA